rnacentral:rRNA from 1 species
AUUGAACGCUGGCGGCAGGCCUAACACAUGCAAGUCGAACGAGCGGCGGACGGGUGAGUAAUGUCUGGGAAACUGCCUGAUGGAGGGGGAUAACUACUGGAAACGGUGGCUAAUACCGCAUACCAUCAGAUGUACCCAUAUGGGAUUAGCUUGUUGGUGGGGUAACGGCUCACCAAGGCGAAGAUCCCUAGCUGGUCUGAGAGGAUGCAACUCCACACUGGAACUGAGACACGGUCCAGACGCCUACGGUAGGCAGCAGUGGGGAAUAUUGCACAAGGGGCGCAAGCCUGAUGCAGCCAUGCCGCGGUUAUGAAGAAGGCCUUCGGGUUGUAAAGUACUUACAGCGGGGAGGCGUUACCCGCAGAAGAAGCACCGGCUAACUCCGGGCCAGCAGCCGCGGUAAUCC